rnacentral:rRNA from 1 species
CCUACGGGAGGCUGCAGUGGGGAAUAUUGGACAAUGGGGGGAACCCUGAUCCAGCCAUGCCGCGUGUGUGAAGAAGGCCCUCGGGUUGUAAAGCACUUUCAGUGAGGAAGAACGCCUGGUGGUUAAUACCCAUCAGGAAAGACAUCACUCACAGAAGAAGCACCGGCUAACUCCGUGCCAGCAGCCGCGGUAAUACGGAGGGUGCGAGCGUUAAUCGGAAUUACUGGGCGUAAAGCGCGCGUAGGUGGCUUGAUAAGCCGGUUGUGAAAGCCCCGGGCUCAACCUGGGAACGGCAUCCGGAACUGUCAAGCUAGAGUGCAGGAGAGGAAGGUAGAAUUCCCGGUGUAGCGGUGAAAUGCGUAGAGAUUGGGAGGAAUACCAGUGGCGAAGGCGGCCUUCUGGACUGACACUGACACUGAGGUGCGAAAGCGUGGGUAGCAAACAGGAUUAGAUACCCGGGUAGUC